GUUUCUGCUUUCCUCAAUAUAUUGUCCUGCUGUUAUAGGGUGUCUUUGACUGUUAUCAAGGAAGAUGUGCCUUUAUCGUUCAUUAUUACAUAUGUGGGGCUAUUAGCUAGUAUUAUGUUGCCGUUGUUUGCGCCUUGCAUGUUGGGAGACCAGGUCCAUAACGAAGUUCGCAGACUUAGGGAGUUGCUUGCUUCACGACUUUAUGAGAAUCAACUGGAUAAGUCAAGUCGCGGGAUGGCACGUGCUUUACUAGCUUGGACAGAGACAAGAGAUCUCUCCUUCUCACUCCUGCGCAUGUUGGACAUCGACAUUUCACUGCCUUUUAAGUUCGUCGGUCUUCUUGUCACGUACCUAAUUAUAUUGUUGCAGUUUCAGAAGGUUAUUAAUCCUUAAAAAAUAUAUGAAGGUUUUACUUUAAAGGUUACAUAAAAUUUGUUCCCGAGCACGUUUUAUGAGUGAAGUGAAAAUAAAUUAACGGAAACUGUAUUGUAACUGCUCAUUUUUCUCCUAUAUUCGAGGUUCUCAAUUCGGAUGUUUGUAUGGUUUUUAAAAAAUUAUUAUGUGAUUUUGGUCUGAGGUUUCUACAUUCCCUAAAUUCAAAGUUCCUUCAGUUUUCUAG